rnacentral:rRNA from 1 species
GGAAUAUUGCACAAUGGGCGAAAGCCUGAUGCAGCGACGCCGCGUGCGGGAUGACGGCCUUCUGGUUGAAAACCGCUUUCAGCUCUGACGAAGCUUUUGUGACGGUAGGAGCAGAAGAAGCACCGGCUAACUACGUGCCAGCAGCCGCGGUAAUACGUAGGGUGCGAGCGUUGUCCGGAAUUAUUGGGCGUAAAGAGCUUGUAGGCGGCUUGUCGCGUCUGCUGUGAAAACCCGGGGCUUAACCCCGGGCUUGCAGUGGGUACGGGCAGGCUAGAGUGUGGUAGGGGAGACUGGAAUUCCUGGUGUAGCGGUGGAAUGCGCAGAUAUCAGGAGGAACACCGAUGGCGAAGGCAGGUCUCUGGGCCAUUACUGACGCUGAGAAGCGAAAGCGUGGGGAGC